rnacentral:lncRNA from 1 species
CUUCUCCUUACCUGUCUUGGUUAACAGGUGCCAGCACCAAGCUUCUUCAGGGCUCACCAAGGUUCAUGGCCACACCCCUGCUGCCCCUCCAAAACCACCACUGUCCCUUGAGACUCAUCUCGCUCAGCCCUUCAUCGCCCUCACCCAGCCGCAGAACCCUGAGUGCCACCCUCUCCCACCCCAACCUCGACCUCUGCUGCCCUGUAAGCUGGCCGGGCCUUGCCGCACACGGUCCUCAGGCCUCCUGCAGGGUGGCACACCUGCCCCUCAGCCUUCCCCGAAUCACGAUGCCCUACUCCCCCUGCCCCAGCUCCCACCUGCCCAGACCUGCUCUCAGGGGCCAGGGGACUGGAGUGGGGGCUGAGGCUCCAGCGCCCUGGUGCUCGGCCAGAGGUCAGGUCAGGUGCUGGUGCCUGGCUGAUUCGGAGCAGGGAUCAAGCCAGUUACCUGCAAUCACCUGUCUCCCAGAUUGGGUGAGGGGGCUUUCCAGGGCUGGGACUGAAUCCUGUUCACCUGCAGUUCCCACCUCCGGCCAGGGCAGGGCAUAGAACCCCUCCACAUUGCAGCAGGAACCCCCGAGAGAUUAAAGGCUAAAUCUGCUAGGAAGUGCUUUACGAAUGUCGUGCUCCCCAAUCCCAGCCAUAGCCUAGGAGGGAUGUCCUGUCAUGUCCCCGUUUAUAGGUGGAAGAAACCGAGGAAUUUGAUGUGCAGGGUCCAGCCAGGGCGGCCAGCAAGCAGCCUGUGGAGUCGGAAUGUGAAGCCGGGUCCCAGAGUAGCUGUGUGCAGAUGGCUCCCUGGAGCCGACCAGGGUCCUGCUGCGGCGGUAAUGAGGCAAAUAAGAGGGGC